rnacentral:rRNA from 1 species
CCAGCUCCAAUAGCGUAUAUUAAAGUUGCUGCAGUUAAAAAGCUCGUAGUUGGAUUUCUGGCAUGGUGUGAUUGGCCCGCCACGGUUUCGUGUGUGAGUGCCGGUUCGCGCCUGCCAUCCUUCUAGUGAUGGCGUGUGCUAUUCAUUUAGUGUGCGUCACUUGCUAGAUCGUUUACUUUGAAAAAAUUAGAGUGUUUAAAGCAGGCAGUUGCUAUGAAUACAUUAGCAUGGAAUAAUAAUAUAGGACGUUCGGUUCUAUUUUGUUGGUAUUGCGGACUGAAGUAAUGAUUGAUAGGGAUAGUUGGGGGUGCUAGUAUUCAGUGGCCAGAGGUGAAAUUCUCGGAUUCACUGAAGACUAACUUAUGCGAAAGCAUUCACCAAGGAUGUCUUCU